AACGAACGCUGGCGGCAGGCCUAACACAUGCAAGUCGAACGUGAAGCCACCUUCGGGUGGUGGAAAGUGGCAGACGGGUGAGUAACGCGUGGGAACGUGCCUUUCGGUUCGGGAUAACCCAGGGAAACUUGGGCUAAUACCGGAUACGCCCUUCGGGGGAAAGAUUCAUUGCCGAAAGAUCGGCCCGCGUCGGAUUAGCUAGUUGGUGGGGUAAAAGCCUACCAAGGCGACGAUCCGUAGCUGGUCUGAGAGGAUGACCAGCCACACUGGGACUGGGACACGGCCCAGACUCCUACGGGAGGCAGCAGUGGGGAAUAUUGGACAAUGGGCGCAAGCCUGAUCCAGCCAUGCCGCGUGGGUGAAGAAGGCCUUAGGGUUGUAAACCCCUUUCAGCGGGGAAGAUAAUGACGGUACCCGCAGAAGAAGUCCCGGCUAACUCCGUGCCAGCCGCCGCCGUAAUAC
rnacentral:rRNA from 1 species